UGUAAGCGUAUACCAAAGUUGUUGCAGUUAAAACGCUCGUAGUCGGAAUUUGGCAGUUCCGGAUGUGUGCACGUCGUGUGCGCACUUCGCGGGGAUUGCUUUUGUGGUCUUGCGUAGGAUGAGGCACUUUUAUUAGUGAACGUCCUCACGCAACCACUUUUUACUGUGAGAAAAUCAGAGUGAUCAAAGCAGGCAUUUGCCGUGAAUGUAUUAGCAUGGAAUAAUAGAAUAGGACUUGGUUCUAUUUUGUUGGUUUGUUGGGACUGAGUAAUGAUUAAGAGGGACAGUUGGGGGCAUUUGUAUUUCGGUGCUAGAGGUGAAAUUCUUAGAUUACCGAAAGACAAACUGCUGCGAAAGCGUCUGCCAAGGAUGUUUUCAUUGA
rnacentral:rRNA from 1 species